rnacentral:rRNA from 1 species
GAUGAACGCUAGCUACAGGCUUAACACAUGCAAGUCGAGGGGAAACGACAUCGAAAGCUUGCUUUUGAUGGGCGUCGACCGGCGCACGGGAGAGUAACGCGUAUCCAACCUGCCCACCACUUGGGGAUAACCUUGGGAAAGUAAGACUAAUACCCAAUGAUAUCUCUAGAAGACAUCUGAAAGAGAUCAAAGAUUUAUCGGUGAUGGAUGGGGAUGCGUCUGAUUGGCUUGUUGGCGGGGUAACGGACCACCAAGGCGACGAUCAGUAGGGGUUCUGAGAGGAAGGUCCCCCACAUUGGAACUGAGACACGGUCCAAACUCCUACGGGAGGCAGCAGUGAGGAAUAUUGGUCAAUGGGCGAGAGCCUGAACCAGCCAAGUAGCGUGCAGGAUGACGGCCCUAUGGGUUGUAAACUGCUUUUAUAAGGGAAUAAAGUGAGUCUCGUGAGACUUUUUGCAUGUACCUUAUGAAUAAGGACCGGCUAAUUCCGUGCCAGCCGCCGCCGUAA